GCUGACAUUGUCUUUAGAGAGAACCCAGGGAACCAAUGGUCAGAACUCAUUCUUUACUUGAUACCCAAUGUCAAAAGUCCUGACAGCUCAAAGAACAUCAAAGAGCCAGAUUCAAAAGCAAUUUGUUACCUCUGCCAGUGUAUUUAUAUGGGGCACUUACAGGGAAGUCCGACGGGAUUUUGACUGCCAUACUCCUGGAGAAGAGGAAAAGAAGAUACUGGCAGUGAUGUGAACUUAGUAGCAACUGAAGCACUCUGGAACUACUGGAGUUCACUGCAGCAAAUUUUAACAAAGAGUCUGAGAGGCAAUUUAUUGUGUGAGUAGUGUGUGGUGCAACCUAUUAUCAAGAUAAUAAGGUAUGAGGGGCUACAUUACAGUCUCUGAUGAAGAAAAUGGCCUUGUAUUAUCAGUCCAUGGAGACACAUAUGACUCCUGCUCUUUUCCUGGCCACAAUUGAAGUAAUGAACAGUGACUUUGAUGAAGUGACCCUAUAAGGUAUAAAAUUCUGGCCCAAUGUCUGUGAUGAAAAAAUAGAUUUGGCUAUUAAAGUCUCUAAAAGGCAGCAGAAUAAAGAAAGCCCCCACAGCACACAGCAAGUUCUGUGCCAAGGGAGUCAUGUAGUCAAAGUUCCAAUUCACACACACAGACACUGGCAAAAGAAUGAUGAAAAUGAAAAUGUUCCUGGACACCUGAUGUGAAGAUGACACUAUCCUACAUAUUCUUCUCCUGUCAAAGAAUGUAUUGAGAGCCCUGAUUAGUCAGUCAUAUAAGGAUAUUAUUGUGCUGGCUUUUGUCUGCAUCAUGGAAAAACAGAAACAUUGUAGUUAUUCAGGCAUUACUUAUCUUAAUGGAUAAUAAUAAUAAUAAUAAUAGUAAUAAUAAUAAACAACCCAUUAGAUCAAUAGUGAUGCUGAGGACAGAUUUUGAAAGCUUCUCCAUGAAGCAGACAUCAAUAAUGUGUCCUUCACUAUCCUGCUACAGCCUCUUAUAACAUGCCUGAGCAUUGAACCCAAAAUGGCUUCAAAUGCUUGCUGAGCUUUUUACAGUCUAGCUAGAGCUUCUUAUAAAACUUGAUAAGUGAAGAUCAGUAGAAAAUAGGUACUUAGUGUUUCUCGUAUUGCUGAAGUGCAUAAAGACCACAGACAGGUCUUCUGGACACAGAAAACAAACUGAGAAGUGUUCUCUGUGGACUUUUGAUGGAAACUGAAAAACAGUGUUAGGCACUAUUAUCUUCUAGUUCAAAAGUUGACUGGCAGCACUGCUCUGCCUGUAAAAAAAAAGUAUCAGAUGGAGUCACAAAUAAAAGCACUUUUGAUAAGAUCCACUUCAAUGACUUUCAGUCUUUACCCUGCAUAACUCUUUAAAAUGUUCUUUCGAAAGUACAGCUUCAAGAU
rnacentral:lncRNA from 1 species